rnacentral:misc_RNA from 1 species
GAUGAAGAACGUAGCGAAAUGCGAUACGUAAUGUGAAUUGCAGAAUUCAGUGAAUCAUCGAGUCUUUGAACGCACAUUGCGCCCCCUGGUAUUCCGGGGGGCAUGCCUGUCCGAGCGUCAUUGCUGCCCUCAAGCACGGCUUGUGUGUUGGGCCUCCGUCCUCCUCCCGGGGGACGGGCCCGAAAGGCAGCGGCGGCACCGCGUCCGGUCCUCGAGCGUAUGGGGCUUCGUCACUCGCUCUUGUAGGCCCGGCCGGCGCUUGCCGACACAUCAAUCUUUUUUCCAGGUUGACCUCGGAUCAGGUAGGGAUACCCGCUGAACUUAAGCAUAUCAAUAAGCGGAGGA